AUAAGAAAUUAACGUAGAAGUUAUAAUAUAUUUGUCAAUACACACAGAUGUCUAAAUUGUGUACCUGUACCCAUUUAUCCCUUACUACACAUUGCUUGAUUUUUACCUAGAAAAACCCAACUUUGCUACCCUACAGAAGACUCGUUUGAUUGUCUACGUUUUUAGUUGCAUUUUGACUUUCACAGUGUCCUCCCCUUGGGAAAGGAUUAUUAAGUCUUCCGACUACUACUUGCCCCGUGAAGACAGGUGCGUGCCUCACCCCUUUCCACAGCCCCUCCUAAACUGGCAGAAGAGGAGGGAGCCAUCUGACAGCAGAUGGGGUGUGACCCCAGUACCAGCCUCUCUCCUGGCAGAAGAGCUUCAGGAAUAAUGUCACUGUGGGCUCCUGACCAGGUGUAGGGUGUCUGGGUGAGACCUGGGAGGACAGUUAAUACAACCCGGAACUGCAUUAACGUUUGUGCACAAUUUCUACAGGUUCAGGAACCCAUGAGGACGUGCAUCUUCUCUGCUCCACUAUGCCUUAACCAGCACCUACAGAAAUGGAAAGAAUGGCACAACAAGUAGCUGUAUUUGAGCUUCUCCCUUCAGGGAGAACACUCGUCUGUGUGUUUAAGAGGAGGCCGAUCUGGCUUUCAAUAGAUGAUAUCUAUUUUGUAUAGAAAAGUACCUACUAUCACAAGACCAGCAUAUUCUCAAUGUUAACCUUCUAAUCUAAUUCCUUCUCCUCCUCUCUCCUGCCUAAAUGAAUAAAACCCCCUUCAAACAGCUUGUGUGUCGAAGACAGAAGCAGCAGAAACUCCACAAAGUCCAGCAAGUGUACUGUGGCAAUGAGUACCCACACAAAACCCAGAGACGGGCAUAGUGAAAGUAAGGGACAAAAAUCUGAAGGUGAUGGGGAAGAGGGCUUUUGAACACAGCUGAACCGAAAUGUCACGUACAAACUGCCUAAAGGCAAGCAAUUGUGUUAACACGAGCUGAGACAGAAUGGAAAUAAAAUUCUACAGAAUGAACAACUACCAUUAACUGAGUGAGAAAAAGCAUCCUCUAGGGCAAGGCAAGUUACUUCACAAACAUCCUUACCACGGCUUCCUUCAUUUCUGAAGGAUUUGGCACCUGAUCUCAGAGAGGUGAGCUUAAUGACAGAAUACUUCACAGUACAGCAGUUCUCCCCGCCACCUUAGGAGGGCACAAACCGACCCCUGGCAGUCCUCUCAAAUGGAAAAGGACUCACCUAAAAAUGUUGAAGCUAUAGGAAGAGUCACUCAAAGGAUGUCCAGGGCACAGACUGGAAAGAUGAAGGAAAAAGAAAAUGAUCCCACUCCAGCCUCUGUACUGAUGGAGACAAAGUGGCUCAAAACCUGGCUGCAGCGGCAGAGGGGCACUAGCCAGGACCCCGGCACACAAACCUGACCUGCGCCAGGCUCUGACCUAGCGGGACCAAUCCUGCCCCCAAACUCCUGCUGAGUCUGUCCUACAAGGGAAUGUCGCUCAGGGUUUGGGAUGAGGGGCUUCGCUUCUGACACGCCUUAUCCAUUAAACAGCAACUGUGAAGUUUAUGACUACGCCCUGGCUGUGACUGCACAGCUCCCGGCAGAGAAGCAUGUGCCAGGCAGCCACGGCAAUGCACCGCUCUUGCCCAAUUCCCAGGGUCUCACAGAAUCUACCUCAACACGCGCAACUGCUCAGACUCCGUCAAUACAAACAGCAUUUGGCACUACGAGUUUCAAUCUGUUAAUUCAAGACACGCAUGUUCUUCUAAAAAUAGUAAUGCUACUAAACAGUUAGGGUUUAAUGCUUUGAAGUGCAUCAGUCCUCUGUUGUUAGAGCCAGGAGAACUCUGUCACAAUCAGACCCUGAAACGAGCUUGAAAAUAUAAUUUCCCUAAUAUUUAUGGUAUUUCACUUCUUUCAUAACAGCUUUGCCUUUAGUAAGGGCUACCGGCAUUCCAGAUUGCAUCUUUGCCUACGAAAUUCUGUAAAGGCAACUCUUCCUUCAGUCCAUAUGGCUCUGCCUAUACUGCGGUACAAGAACAGCCCAGAAACCAGGCACAGCACCCAAUUCUUACUGUGUUGAGUACUUUUCUCCUACAGCGUGUCGGGGUUCUGCCUGUCUCACCUGGCAUUGGGGGAGAAACUCAGCUGCGCCCUGAGCUUUGAGUACACACAGGAACACUCAGAUUACCUGUCUAGGGGUGUACAGCCUGAGACACCACACCUCUUCUAGCCAUCCCACCCACCCUGCCGGUGACAUCGCGUAGCUGUCGUUGCAGUGUCGGGAAUGCCUGAAUCCUUCUCAAAACCCUCAUAGUAUCAGUUACCACAUGGGAAAUUACUCCAAAUGCAACUGAGCUCAGGCUGCUUACAAAAAAAACUGUGGAGCUGGAUUUCUGGAGUGCUCUGGGCUUCAGAUUGCUCCUGGGAUUGCUAAUCUAUGUCAAUACUCUGCGAAAAUCACCAUGCUUCCUCUGAAAUUGGUGAAAAUUCUAUGAAAAUCUUGACGCUGAGAAUAAGGGACCAGAAAUGGAUGCUAGUAUGAGUUGGUAAUUAAAAUAAACCAAUCAUUUUAAUGAAAUGCCAGAAACUUCCUCAGAGGAAGAAUGGCAAUUCUAUAUAAUGGAAAGCUGCCAAAUUGGUCCUAUUUUCAAUUAAGGAAAAAAAAAGUUUAAAUUCUCUGUGAAAACAAUCCCAGGCUAAACCAAGUGUUCAUAUUGUAAAACCAAAAUAUUCUGUUUGGAUCUAGAUCUUUUAGCACAUUUUAUUAGAAAAAGUAUUUCAGAAGGAAGUAACUUUAAGAAAAAAAACCCCAAGAAAAUAUCCUCUUCUAAAGCUUAUUGGUCUUUCCUCUUUUUGACAAAAUUCCAAUAAAAUAAUAAUUUCAAAAAGACUUGCCAGUUUGCUUUUGAAUCUGUUGAACUGCAUUCUCUUUCCAGUGAAAAAUGAUUCUGGUCCAAAUGUCUCUGACAGCUUGAGAGUUUGUAAACGAUCAAACCCAUGAGCCUCAGGAAACGAGUCGUUAAGUUGUUGAAGCUGACCCACGUGAAUGGAGGCAGCCAUAGGUAGAAGUUGGAAGCGGGACACUAGGAGGUUAUACAGUUAACGUAACCCUUUAGAGCAGGAAUGUGAACGUACUGAUUGAUUUGUAAUUAAAUAAAAUUAUGGUAACUCAUUUUGAGUCUGCUUAUAAAUUCAUGUACACUUCUCCUGAGCUCUCUGCAAAUGUCUUCCAGACAACAAAUGUAUGCAACCACUGAAUGUACCAGUAACAUUUGUUGGCUUUAAUAAAAAUCAAUAAUGAACAAAA